CCCGAAAUAGCUCAGUUGGGAGAGCGUUAGACUAAAGAUCGAAAAGUCCCUGGUUGGGUUCCGGCA
rnacentral:tRNA from 1 species